AGGGAUAUGAGUUGUUAUGAAUAGUAUUUUAAUAGUACUAUUCAACUUCCUCUUGUGGACCUUGUGAGAAAUCAUAAGUUUUUGGGUUCUGGGGGGAGUAUGGUCGCAAGGCUGAAACUUAAAGGAAUUGACGGAGGGGCACCACCAGGAGUGGAGCGUGCGGCUUAAUUUGACUCAACACGGGAAAACUU
rnacentral:rRNA from 1 species